UCUCAUCAAUAUUUAGUGACUUUUCAUAUGCUUCUUUCUCUAUAAAUCCAACUUUAAACUAACCUCCACAAAUAUAGAUCAAAUCCACUAAAUUUGGUGAGUACAAGCAAAAGCUUCUUUCUGCUUCAAUAUUUGGAGAAAUAAAUAAUAGGAGAGAAGAAUCAAGUUUGAUAACUUAUAAUAUUUCCCAUGACUCUUGCUGUAGCCGUAGGUUGUUUCACCCACAUGCCAAUGCUGCCAACCUCCAACUGUACCUAUAAAGCAUCAGUGGUAAUUACCAUAGGCAAAUUAUAUUUAGUGUUUCUUCUGGGAAAAUGCAUUAACGAUAAAAAGAAAAGACAAGUUGAAAGAAAAAGAAGUAAUCUAGGCAGCACAGGUCCAGGAGGAGGAGGGCCUGAUCCAGGUGUCACGAAAAUUAUUGAUCAGCCACCACAAAAUGCUGAAGAUGGUGAACUACUUGACAACAAUACUUUUGCAUUCGAUUUCACUCCCAAUCAGUGGCUCAUCAUUUUUCUUUUUUUAAUCCUCUUGAUGGAUUCGACAUGCUUUAAAUCACAUUAAUUCAUUUGGAGUUGUUUUAGUUUAUUUUAUUUUCUCUUUUAAUUGGAUUUUGCUUAUCAUUCUUAUUGUAAUUAAGGGAUAUAUGUUUUUCCUUUCAUUUUUUUUUCUCAUUUGACAUGGCUAAUGUUGUUGUUGUUGUGUAUUAUUUUAGGUUCCGCUUAACAAUAUAGUGCGGUAUUUUAUAGCUUUUGGUUAGAUGGCACAUGUAGAACAUUGUUAUUUUUGUAGUCUUGAUUUUCUUUUAAGACUAUUGAGGCACUUGCACAAAGAUAUUGCAAGAUAAGAAGUGGGAUGCAAGUAGGAAGAGAAAAUGGGGUGAAUAUUUUAUGAUAAAUCAAAGACCAAGGACGGGAUAAUUAAUAAUUUCCUAAAUGGCAUGUAUAGACCAGUUCAAUAGGCUCAUUUAGUUAAUUAUCUCCUAAAGCCAGAGCAUGGGUAUGAUUUUAUUUCUUUGAUUGAUUUAUUGAUUGUGUAACUACUCAGUUGAUCAAUGUAGCAAAUCCUAAUUAAUAUAAAUUUGUAAUUAAUGUAGCCAAUGAAUUUAAAAAAGAUGCCA